rnacentral:lncRNA from 1 species
UGAUACGUUCCACCAUACUGCACCAGAUUAAAGUGGAAAUCUGGAGAAAGUGGGAGUGGAAACGUGGAUGUAAUUGUCCACCAUUCACAAAGUCCAGCCAUGCAACCAAACCAUACAAGAUUCCAAUAUCUGUUACCAUUUGAAGUGACCACGUGGGGUAGUGACUUAGUCUAUUUUAGUCAGUUUGUUUGUUUUAUGCAGCGCUUAUCUGUAGCCUUAGUGGGAUAGUGUUGUUCCUGAUUUCUAGCAUUAAUUGUUAUUCUUUCUAGCCUUGUAAAACUACUAUAUAUAAUUCUAGUUAUCUUCAAUUAAAGGAGGCAAUUAACAGUUCAAUUAUUCCAACUUUAUCUUAUCUAUUUCUUCUCUGUCAACUUUAUCUUCUCUAAUUCUUCUGUUCAAAUUAAACCAUAUCAAUUGGUAUCAAAGUGCGGUUCCGACCAUGGAUACUCGUGGCAAAACAAAUGCAGAAUUCCGUAAUGAAGUCAAUGAAAUCUUAGCACGACAUGAGUCGAGCUUGGAUCAAAUUAAUGCUGUCCUCCAAACAGUGUUAACCGAGCUUCAAUCUCUACAUGCCAUCCAGAGUACCCACACUAAUAACCCUGAAGUAAACCCAUUUGCCCCAGGAGAAUCUUCCCAUACACCAAAUGCUGUCCGUUUGAAUACCAACAAUAACAACCAUCAUCAACAUCUUAAACUUUCCUUCCCAAGGUUCAAUGGUGAGGACCUGACCGGCUGGAUCUACAAAGCGGAACAAUAUUUUGAUUUCCAAAAUAUUUCAUCUGACCAACAAGUUCAACUAGCAUCCUUCCAUCUAGAGGGCAUUGCCUUACAGUGGCCCCGCUGAUUAUGAAGACCCGUCAGAAGCUCUAACCCGUCUUAAGCAAAACUCAAAUGUAGCAGCUUACCAGGAAAAUUUUGAAAAGCUUUCCCAUCGAGUUGAUGGUCUACCUGAAAGUUUUUUAGUUGGUUGUUUCAUUGCAGGACUUCAGGAUGACAUUCGCCUCGAUGUAAAAAUUAAACAACCUCGAACUUUGACGGAUGCAAUUGGAGUUGCUCGGCUAAUUGAGGAAAAAAAUCAGUUGCAAAACAAAUUUAGCCAAUCAUUUCUUUCCUAACCAGUUUCAGUUGUGCCAAAAGGGAAUCCCAACCCAACAGCUGGUGUACUAGGCCCUCCACCAAACUGUAGAAAAAAUGCAAAUUCUAAUACUACUCCAUCAACAUUUCGGCCAGUGACCAAUCAAGAGGCACAAGAACGUCGAGAAAAAGGGUUGUGUUACUAUUGCGAUGAGAAGUUUGUUCCUGGCCAUCGGUGUGAUCGUCCACAAUUAUUUAUGAUGGAAGAUGGGACUUGGGAAAACGAGCGGCAGUUUACUAAGUCAGAUUUCAUCCUUGAGGACAAGGAUUCUAAAGGGGGGAGGACUGAUACGUUCCACCAUACUGCACUAGGUUAAAGUGGAAAUCUGGAGAAAGUGGGAGUGGAAACGUGGAUGUAAUUGUCCACCAUUCACAAAGUCCAGCCAUGCAACCAAACCAUGCAAGAUUCCAAUAUCUGUUACCAUUUGAAGUGACCACGUGGGGUAGUGACUUAGUCUAUUUUAGUCAGUUUGUUUGUUUUAUGCAGUGCUUAUCUGUAGCCUUAGUGGGAUAGUGUUGUUCCUGAUUUCUAGCAUUAAUUGUUAUUCUUUCUAGCCUUGUAAAACUACUAUAUAUAAUUCUAGUUAUCUUCAAUUAAAGGAGGCAAUUAACAGUUCCAUUAUUCCAACUUUAUCUUCUCUAUUU